UACGUAGGGUGCAGGCGUUAAUCGGAAUUACUGGGCGUAAAGCGUGCGCAGGCGGUUUGCUAAGACAGGUGUGAAAUCCCCGGGCUUAACCUGGGAACUGCGCUUGUAACUGGCAAGCUAGAGUGUGGCAGAGGGGGGUGGAAUUCCAUGUGUAGCAGUGAAAUGCGUAGAGAUGUGGAGGAACACCGAUGGCGAAGGCAGCCCCCUGGGCUAACACUGACGCUCAUGCACGAAAGCGUGGGGAGCAAACAGG
rnacentral:rRNA from 1 species